rnacentral:rRNA from 1 species
CCUANGGGUGGCUGCAGUCGAGGAUCUUCGGCAAUGGGCGAAAGCCCGACCGAGCGACGCCGCGUGGAGGAUGAAGGCCUUCGGGUUGUAAACUCCUGUCGGAGGGGAAGAAAUUUUGACUACCCCCUCGGAGGAAGCCCGGGCUAAGUUCGUGCCAGCAGCCGCGGUAACACGAACCGGGCAAACGUUAUUCGGAAUUACUGGGCUUAAAGGGUGCGUAGGCUGCGCUAUAAGUCGGGUGUGAAAUCCCUCAGCUCAACUGAGGAACUGCGCCCGAUACUGUAGUGCUUGAGGAGGAUAGAGGUGAGCGGAACUAGCAGUGGAGCGGUGAAAUGCGUUGAUAUUGCUGGGAACACCCGUGGCGAAAGCGGCUCACUGGGUCCUUUCUGACGCUGAGGCACGAAAGCUAGGGGAGCGAACGGGAUUAGAUACCCCGNUANUC